AGCUAACGCGAUAAGUCGACCGCCUGGGGAGUACGGCCGCAAGAUUAAAACUCAAAUGAAUUGACGGGGGCCCGCACAAGCGGUGGAGCAUGUGGUUUAAUUCGAUGCAACGCGAAGAACCUUACCUNCUCUUGACAUCCANAGAACUUUCCAGAGAUGGAUUGGUGCCUUCGGGAACUCUNAUACAGGUGCUGCAUGGCUGUCGUCAGCUCGUGUUGUGAAAUGUUGGGUUAAGUCCCGCAACGAGCGCAACCCUUAUCCUUUGUUGCCAGCGAGUAGAGCCGGAACUUUUAGGAGACUGCCAGGGANAAACUGGAGGAAGGUGGGGAUGACGUCAAGUCAUUCUGGCCCUUAACAGUAGGGCUACCCACGUGCUA
rnacentral:rRNA from 1 species